AGUCUUCGAGCUGGAAGCUUUCCGGGGAGGGUCAGUAAUGGCCACUGAGCCCUCUGUUGGCUUAUUGGCUGAGCUCACUGAUGAGGAAACCUUGAGUUCGUCACUUUCUCUUCUCUAAUUGCUGAAGUGGCCGUCACUGAAGAUGACAGAGCGUUUCUGAAGGACACAUGGGAAUCAUUAACCAGCCCAAUAAAAUGAUCUAUUUAUGAGAAACAAGCCAAACAAUAUAGAGCCAAGGACAGAAAGAAGAACAGGACUAAGAGAAGGGGAAAAAGGCCAAAACAUUUUGCCCCUGUUCCGUUGCUGACCGUGCUGCUUGGAUAUGUUGGGUAGAGUUCCUUGGACAGCCCAGGGAAGGACCUCCACCUUCGUUGCUCCCUUCUCCUGUCCCCCCACCUACCAAAACACAGGAACCCCAUCUUCAGACAGAAGGCAUGCUGCCUCAUGAAGGCUCACAGUUCCAGCCCUUAGAACCAUCCAGAGGGCACAACCAUCAGACGAAGUGGGAGGAAGAAACAUUAACUUCAACAGCUGUUUCUUGACCCCGGCUGUCAGUCUUCCCAAGAAUAAAUUUUGGAGAGUCCUAUUUGAAACAAAGAGGGAGUUUUGGGGGAGAGAAAAGUUGGUUGGUUCCAGGGCAGCCGCCCAAAGAAGCAGGGAACAAGAUGUUUGCAGUUACCACGCAGCCUGCAAGCCUCUGCCGGGUGCAGGCAAGGAGCAAAGUAACUUGAAAGCUCCCCUCUCGGCGCCCUGUGCCUGCAGCUUCCCCCCCUAACGCGCGCCCAGAUCCAGCGCCGGUGGUAAGAGCCGAAGCUCGACUACAGUAAUUCCCCAGCUCGGGCGGCUUGAAACUGCUCGGGCUGAAUAGCAUUUGCUGUUCCGUCCUGUGGCAGCCUCCCGCCGCCGCUGCCGCGCUCCCUGCAAAGCAGCUCUCAUUAUCCCGGAAGUUGUGCUGACACAGUCUCGCUGCCACCAGAAGUUUGUCAACAUCAAACUUCUCCUGUGUGGGGUACGUUCACCUUCCACGAGUAUUUAAUCGAGCCAACAAGCAAACAAACAAACCCAAAUAAACCUGCCCGUGAUGUCAUGG
rnacentral:lncRNA from 1 species